CGGGUUAGUUAUUGGCUUAGUCCCAGAGUCUCUUGAGGCCAUUGUUUAGAGGAGGACCAGGUCUAAAUUAAAAUUAAUCCUGGGCUACAAAGAUCAUUCAUUGCACUACGUCUUUACAGGUCUUGAAAGCUCUUUUAGUGAGUGACUUGUGAUGCCUCGGUGCUCCACUAAAAUCUACCUUACCUUACCUUAGCCUAGAAACAACAUAUGUUGGUCACUCCUGCUGUAGAAUCCCACGCCAUUUCCUUUUUAUGAUUGUCCUUAUAUGAGGGAUGAGAUGGCUCAAAGAUUAUUCCAUGAUUUUGGAUUUCCAGGAUCAGCAUUUCCUCAUCCAUGGUGUCAUUGGGGUGUCCCUAUAACGAGUUGUCCCUAUAAAGACAGCCACAUAGACAUAUAAGAAUAGAAUAGAAUAGAAUAGAAUAUUCCUUUAUUGAUCCCCCAUAGGGGAAAAUUUUUUGUCACAGCAGCAUCACAGACAAAGAGUGCAAAAAUGCAGUUAUAAAAACAAAUAUCAUCAUAUUAAGGAAAAGGAAAAAGGGAGAAUAAAAAUAAAAAUAUAUACAAUAUACACAAUUUAAGUGUCAGAAAAAAAAGUGGUGGUGUGAGUCCAGUUUUAUUACAGUUCGUUGUAAAGUCUUAUUGCAGAGGGGAGGAAUGACCUGUGGUAGCGCUCCAUCUUGCAAGGUGGGAGUCUCAGUCUGCUGCUGAAGGAGCUGCUUAAAGCCCCCACAGUCUGGUGCAGUGGGUGAGAGGGAUUGUCCAUGAUGGAUACAAGCUUUGCUAACAUCCUCCUCUCACCCACCUCCUCCAGGGAGUCCAAAGAGCAGUCCAGGACAGAACUGGCCCCAGAACUGCAGAGGAUCCAGAUGAGAGCUCACCAGGAGGCAGAGGUUCCUCAGCACGAUCCUCUCCAGUCUUCAUCAGGUGAGAAGUGAGGGCCACAGGUCUGAAGUGGUUGGGCUCCCUGGGGUGUGCUGUCUUGGGGACAGGAAUCACACAGGAAGUCUUCCACAGUGCUGGGACCCUCUCCAGACUCAGACUCAAGCUGAAGAUGUGCAGUAGCACCUCACUGAGCUGGUCUGCACAGUCCUUCAGGAGUCUGGAGCUGAUGCCGUCAGUACCCGUGGCCUUCCUUGGCUUCAUCUUCCUCAGCUCACUUCUCACCUGGUCAGCUGUUAUGGAGAGGCUGAGGGUAGUGCUGGAGGGGGUAGUGGAGAAUGAGUGGAGGGGGGUUGAUGAUGCUGGUGCCAGUUUGAUGAGUUGGGGGAGCAGAGUCAAAUCUAUUGGCUCACUCCCUGUCACCUGCUUCAGGUCCCCUCUCGUGGCCCCUGCUAUGACCUGAGAUGGAUUUCAGGCCUCUCCAGACCUCCCUCGUGUUGUUCUGUUGCAGAAGAUUUUCCAUCUUGGUCUUGUAGCUGGCCUUCCCCUCCCUGAUCUUCUUCUUCAGCUCCUUCUGCACCCUCCUCAGCUCCUCCUUGUCCCCGGUUUUAAAGACCCUCCUCUUCUCCUUCAGGAGGACUUAAAGUUCAGGGGUCACCCAAGGUUUGCUGUUGGAGAAACACCUUACUUUCCUGGUGGGUACGGUGUUCUCAACACAGAAGUUUAUGUAGUUCGUGAUACAAUCUGUCAUGGUGUCGAUGUCAUCACCAUAUGGGCCGCACAGUACAUCCCAGUCUGUGGUCUCAAAACAGUCCUACAGCGCCUCAGUGGCCUCCUCAGACCAACUCUUAACAUACCUGAUGGUGGGGGGUUGUUUCUUCACCAUAGGUAUGUAAAUGGGCUGCAGUCUCACCAGGUUGUGAUCUGAGCGGCCCAGCGGGGGGAGGGGGGAGGAGGUGAAUGCAUCCUUGGUGUCUGCAUACAGUAAGUCCAAAGUUUUAUUGUCUAUCGUUGGGCAGUUUACAUACUGGCUGAAGGUAGGGAGAGUGGAGGACAGCGAUGCAUGAUUAAAGUCUCCAGAGAUGAUGAUCAGAGACUGAGGGUGUGAUGUAUGUAGCUUGGACACUUCACUGUGGAGGAGUUCACAGGCUGCAGCAGCAUCAGCCGAGGGGGGGAUGUAAACAGUUAACGCGAUGACGUGCGAAAACUCCCUGGCCAGGUAAUAUGGCCGCAAACUCACAGCCAGCAGCUCAAUGUCCUUAGAGCUGUGCUAGUGCUCUUUAACACUGACGUGCCCAGCAUUACACCAUCUCUCAUUCACAUACACCGCUAUCCCGCCUCCUUUCUUCUUACCACUCUCCCAUACACUCUGGUCCACUCUGACGAGGUGAAAUCUGUCCAAAGUUACGACCGGGUCUGGAGUGAGUUCGUUCAGCCAUGACUCCGUGAGCAUCAUGAGGCUGCACUCCCGGUACUCCCACUGCAGCAGAGUCAGCGCUGUGAGCUCUUCCAUCUUGUUGGGGAGAGACCUCACGUUUCCCAUAAUAAUGGACAGGACAGUUGGCUUAGAAAGCAGUAGAUUGUGCCCUUCCAAAGGAGGAAAUCUACUUCUAGACUUCUAGAAUCAGCAUUUCCUCAUCCAUGGUGUCAUCUGGGUGAAAUGACGUCUAAAAAUCUUUCACUUGUUCGUUUCCGCCCGUUUGCAUGGGGAGAAAUACGAUCCUCCUGAAACCAGAGUGUUUUAUUUUGAAAAGAAGCCGGAUGUUUUAUUUUGUGUCUGUGCCCGACUUCCUUUCCAACACGGGUUAACCUGUGCUGAAUUUAUCUGGCAUGCUCUUUCGUCUGGAAAAAAAUAGAACGAAAUCUAUUUAAAUGCAGGGGGCCUGAAAGAAGUCGGUGGAAUUUGACACAUUAACUCUGAUGGAAACGAUCAGCGGCGAUCAGUGCCUACGGCCUUUUCGCCACUGUCUGCAUGAGGUAGAUUUUGGGGGUACUCUUCAGUGUUUCCACUAGAAUUUUUUUCAGCAGUGGCGCUUCUGUGUCGUUUCGGGUUGGGGGCGAUUUUCACUGUUAUCCCCACUCGCUUUCUGCUCAUGGAGCUACGCUGUCAUGUUCACAUUACAGUACGUUACCCGUGCUACUCGCUAUAUAGACUGUGUAUAAGCUUGAACGUUACCUGUCACAUUAAUGGAAGAGGGUCUGACAGGAUUUGAUGCGCUUUUCAAAGACUCAAAACAAGCCGAAAAUAACGUUGUGUAUGAAUAUAUGAAUGUUGUGAAUGAAUGUAGGGAAAGACUGUGCUUUUUCAGAUCUGAGCGUCCAGAACUUUUACUGCAGGUGGGUAGAAACAGUCAAACGUCACACUUUGGUCUUUGGACAUCACACAUCUCAUCACUUUUUCAAACUUGAGGGAGGAAACAUUUUUUUUCCCCCAGACCCUCAUAUUAAAUGUGAAUUCCUCUCCUCCCCCCUUUUGUAACGUAUGUGCAUAUCUUCUCCAGCCUUUCAGAACCUUUAGGCCCAAAAAUUGGGAUUCAUACGGUGCAAGAAAUCCGUGAGUUCAGCCGAGUCCUUGCUCUGCUACUUAAUGUGAUCAGAAUUUUCUGUUCGGGAUGUUUUUUGUCACAAAGGACUGACGUUCUUAUGCUGCUCUUGCUAACAGGACGCGGUACGACUCUGAAUGUAUGUCGAUAUAAUCAGACUGCUAAACCUUGAGUGGAUUGAACCCUGUAUCUUUGCACCACAGCCAGCAUCUAUGAUUUCCAGUUCUUUGUGAAAAGAAGUUCUUUCCAUGCGAUGACUCCCACUCCAGAGUCCUCUCUGUUUUUGAAGCCCUGAAAAUCAGGACCAUCCAGUCCUCCUUUAGUACAGUCCUUUUGAACAUUUCUCCGUUUUUUAACCGUGUGUCUUUAAAACGGUUUCCUCGGCUGAACGGUUGAACCUCCUACAGAACAAGAAGAUGAGCCGCUGAGAUCACUUACACUUCUUAAAAUCAUCUUCAUCGUCCACUUUCUCUUCCUCCUCGCCGACGGCUGCAGAUGAGGAUCUAAUAAAAGGCGGUCGAGAAAAUGGCUCCACCACAUCUGUGUAAUACACGGAGGUUAAAUGGGGAGGAAUUGGCUUUAGAUUGAAGUGAUUUGCGUGUUUUAGCCUGAAGUUCCAGCGCUGCUGCUGCUGCAAUAAUUGAAUUACUUCAAAAAUCAGACCAAAGUGAAGCUAUUCCUGCUCAACACACACGCACACACACACACUUAAACACACACACGCAGGCGUUCCUGGGGAGAUGCGUUCCUGCCUUCAUCUCUUUCAUGAGCGAGAGGCUUCAGAGGAUAAGCAGCAGAUCAAACACAGCACCGGUUAAAGCACAGCAAUUACACUUUCCACCUGAGGGAGGAAGAGGAGGAGGAGGAGGAGAGCGAGGGCGAGUGAGAAAGGGAGAGAGAGAGAGAGAGGACAGAUAAAGGCAGAGAGUGUGAGAAUAAGUGUAAUGAGAACAGAUUGUAGAUGAGGAAUUCUCAGCACUGCUGAAUAAAAUGGGUUCAGGGAGACGGGGAGUGUUCAGCUGUUUUGUGUUUUAAUAAGAUACGAUUGGCAGGAGCCCAAACAGUGUGUGUGUGUGUGUGUGUGUGUGUGUGUGUGUGUGUGUGUAGAUAUGAGCUAGUGUAUGAAGGUGCACAUAAACAAUCUGCCUAAACGUGCACACAAUAACACAUGUAAUCUCUGUUCUGUUGACUUUAAUAAUAGAUAAAACAUGAACUACUGAACAACACAUGGCUUCUCAUUUACAUCAGUGUGUGUGUGUGUGUGUGUGUAAAUGACAAAAAGAUUUUUUAAAAAAGCAUCACUAUAAUAAAACACACUUAACUGAGAGAUGAACAAACUCCAACUGGACAAGGUUUGAAGUCAAGAUUUGAUCACAGUUUUACUCUCCUCUCUUCUGAACUUUCGCAUUCAGGAUCCGUGAGUCCCUCUUUCAGGUCUUUGCACACUCGGUCUGGUACUUCAGGACAAUCUCAUGAUCAUGCACACUGAUGCACAAACUUUCAUCUGUCUUAUUUCUUCUCCAAAUGGGUGUAAUUUUCCUUAUCUUUAAAAAGACGCCCUCGGACACUGAUAUGUGCUCACUUGUCCAACAGUGUGUUUUUGAUUUGAUCUGAUUUCCGUCCUUAAAUAAGCUGGUCAGGAUCAAUUAGGAUCAGUUUCUUUCUCUUCUUUGAAUGUGUGGCUCCAGAAAUUCUGAAAACUGGACCAAACUGGACCCCUGACAUCCAUACCUGGGAUUUCCAACGCAUCUGGAACGGCUCCGAUCUGGAAUGGCGGCAAUUUUUGCCGUCCGCCAAGUCUUACCAGAUCCGUUGGUGAGGCGAAUUUCUUUGCUGAU